ACAAGGACCAUCCUUCGUUGAGUGCUUACCACGUGCUGAGGGUCACAGCAAGCACACUGGCUCGGCCCACGCCUUUGCUUCCUUUCUCCUGAGCUCCAAGGGCUACAGUCCCGGAGGCCACGCCUGCCCCUCCAUGGACAGCUGAGAAGAUUAAUAAAAAAACCACCUCUUUAAUAUGGGAGUUUUGAAAUAUUCUAUAACAUUUGAAUGAAAGCACCUUGAACUCAGAAAAGCUGUGUGUGUGCUGUGUAACAAAGCUCUAAGAAAGGCCAUCAGUGCUGCAGCUGAAAGAAAUGGAUGCCAGCCUACCAGAAAGAGUGGAAGGGACAGGGAAAGAGAAAAACAUCGAAGUGAGAGAGACAUCGAUUGUUUGCCUUCUGCACGCACCCCAACCAGGACUGGGGAUUGAGCCUGCAACCCAGCUCCCACCUUCCUGCGUUGCAAUCCUUGGUACCACAGACUGAGCAGAUUGUACGAGAACAUCUGUCAUGGGCAGGCAGGGC